CAAUAAUAAAAUUCUCGUAAAACAAGCUCUGGUUGACAGCAAAACUUGUGACAAUGCUCCGUGUCCUGUUAUCCGUAUACAAAUCCUGGUCCGAAGUGAACAGCCCUUGCCGAUUCAUGAGGUCGACAUAGUACUUGUUGUCGAAUACAUUCGGGGUUCGGAUAUCGAGAUUAGUCGUGUUGGUAGAGUUUGUGGUUGGACAAGUGAUUUUGAGGUUCGUAGCAAAGGUUUGAUCCAUGGUAGAGUCUUGGGUGGGGUAGAGUCUACUGGUGAAAGAAGUGCAAUGACCAAUGCCGAUUGUGUGGCCCCCGGAGAGUGCGACAGCGUCGGUGGUGGUGAGAUUUUUGGUGGCCAGAGAGGAGAGGAUGUCACUCGUAUUCGAAGUUGGUGCGGGAAGGUUAGCGAGAGUGUCAUUUUGGGUUGCGAAGUCGAGGCUGUCGCGGCGUCCGAAUGGCACGCUGUAGUUUGGACCACCGGACUGUUUAAGAGACAAAAAAAAUAGUGAAUUAAUUAGGUAUACAUAAAAUUAUGCUACAAAAGUCUUGAAUGAAAAUACCAAAAUCUAAAUGUAAUGUCUGUCUAUAUAUUAUUACUAUAUGAAUCCAGAACAUUUGUUAUAUUUGGUAAUGCAUCCUGCUGGGAGCGGAUCUGGAAACAAAAUCUUGAGGACACCAAGCAAAUUUUCAGAAAACGUUUAUAUGUUUUUAAAUUUUGGGGGACAAUUUUAUAAUUGUGUAAAAUUUAGAAUGGUGAAGAAAAUGUAAAAAAAGUUCUUGGGGAGGCACUUGUCCCCCGUGCCUCUUACUAGAUCCGCUCCUGCAUCUUGCAGUACGUUCUUGAAAAAAAAAAUUCUCAUCAGGACUCAAGAGCCAUGAUCUAGUUACCGAAACAAAAACAUGUAGCAUGAAAAAGAAAAUAAUAGAGUUUUAUAUAUAAACUCCAUCAAUCUUGCGCUCACAAAGCUAGAAAGUUAUGGGUAAUUAGGUGGGUAUUUACCAGAACAACUGCAUCACGAGCCGCAACAGCAGUAAUAUCAGCACAUGAGACAACACUCCCACAUUGAUUCUGAACUAGGCUCCUGAGUUCUUCGAUGAUCUGAAAAGCCUGGGGCCUUAAUGUAAGGUUCGGUGUUGCAUUUUUUUCGCCUGGUCCACUUGCUGAACCAUCUAGCAGAACUGACGCAUCACAUCCCUGGCAUCGUAUAUAUAUUACAGACAACACUACAUAAAUUGCCAUCGAAUAAUUUUAAAUCCUCAGCAGUUAAUCAAGAAAAAUUAAUAAUUACCAACAGUUUAUUAAGUUCUAGAGUAUAAUUAUAUAGCAAAUAAAAAAAAGUCUUUUAAUUUCACAUAUCUGAAAUUAUCUGAAUACCUCAACUGGUGCAAAUAAGAAAAUAAACUAACAGCUCCACUGUCUCUAACUAAAACUUAGUAAGAACAAUUAUGAUGACGAUGAGUGUAAGUUUGAAAUGUAGAAACCUGCACAAAACAAUCAUGGAAGUGCAACCGGAGCAAUCCAGCCGCAAGUCCUAUAUCGGAGGCGAACUCAGUCUGAAGCCUUGUCCUGACGAUGGUUUCAAAGUCAGGGCAGCUUGUAUUAUAGAAAGUGUAGGAGAGUCCUGACACCAGAGGCGGAGUUUGUGCUUCCGACACAUACAAGUAGCCGGAAGAGAGUAGCAAAAGACAUGGUACGAUAAGUAGUUGGGAAAUUAAAGAAGCAAAAGUUGAGGCCAUGAUUUUUGUUGCUUCUAUGUUUGUUCAGGUAUUAAGUGCAAGGGAGCCUGUAUAUAUACAAUUUUUUGAUUGACGUAGAUAGCUAACUAGGUUGAAAAUCCCAUGCACUUCACUAGCCGCAGAUAUUUACAAUUUCGGGGAUUUUUUUUUUAUUAUUUCUCGACGCAACGUGAUAAAAUUAAUCUUUUGGGGAUUUCAUAAAAUGCUAACAUCGAUCGAUAAAUGUUGAGAGUGAAACCGGAAUUAACAAAAAAUGCUUUCUAUUGUACAGUAGUAAGUAUAAUUUAUACUACAUUGCGCGGUAAUGAUAUCAUUUAACACAUAUUAAUCCACAUUAAUUACACCAAACUUAGAUUACCCUAAUUGUUUGAAGUUUGAUAUUACACUGAUUGUUAAUUUGAAGUUUGAUAGUACAUAUUUGGACUAUCAAUUGGUGUCCGUUGAUAUGUUAUCUACUUUCGAAUUUUCUAUGGUGUGCGCAAGGGCACACAAUAGUCACUAACUCCCAUGAAAAUUCUAGCUUUUGAUUGGUGGAUGGAUAAUAAAUGUAAAUGGCCCCCUGCAUUCACAUCAAUUUCACCAAUCAAAACAAGUCAUUUUCAUGGUAGUUUGUGCUUAUUGUGUGCCCUUGGGCACACAUUAGAAAGACCGAUCUACUUUAUAAUACUCUAACCAUCCUUCAAAGUUUCAGCCACAAAUACUGAAAUACACAAAGGUAGUCAUUGGCCAGCUGAACGCGUGUUUCUUGUUUAACACAAUGCACUGUACAUUUACUUGGUUACAAUUUGAUCACCAUAAAGCAGAUGUGGAAUUUAGACUUUUGCAUUUAACUCUAUUUACUGAAAUUUAUUGGUUUUCAUUAAUCAUCCUUACAAAUUUCAUACAUCCAUUACGUCAACUUUAAUUUCAGCAAAUAAUUUUAUUAGUUAUUGCAAUUUAACCCGGGUCACUGAUAUGAAAGUUUUCAAUAUAUAGAUAUAUAAAAAGUCAUUUAUUUGUAAAGACCGCUUGUCACAGCAAGCAAACACAGAUGAUAAGAAAUUUAAAAUCCCAUCAAAGUUUCCAAUCCCUCUUCCACAACAGUAGACAAGAAACUGCUGGUCGGAUUCCUGGCCGAGCAGUUCGCCCGAAUCUCCCCUUGUGUUCCGGUCAGCACAUUCAACAUCCCCAUCUUCAGCAUCCCAAUAAUAAACUUCUCGUAAAACAAGCUCUGGUUCACAGCAAAACCUGUAACAAUGCUCCGUGUCCUGCUAUCCGUAUACAAAUCCUGGUCCGAAGUGAACAGCCCUUGCCGAUUCAUGAGGUCAACAUAGUACUUGUUGUCGAAUACAUUCGGGCUUCGGAUAUCUAGAUUAGUCGUGUUGGUGGAGUUUGUGGUUGGACAAGUGAUUUUGAGGUUGUUAGCGAAGGUUUGAUCCAUGGUAGAGUCUUGGGUGGGGUAGAGUCUCCCGGUGAAAGAAGUGCAAUGGCCAAUGCCGAUAGUGUGGCCCCCCGAGAGCGCGACUGCGUCGGUGGCGGUGAGAUUUUUGGUGGCCAGAGAGGAGAGGAUGGCACUUGUAUUGGCAGUCGGCGGGGGAAGAUUAGCCAAAGUUGCAUUUCUGGUUGCAAAGUUGAGGCUGUCGCGGCG
rnacentral:lncRNA from 1 species